UACGUUGGGUGCAAGCGUUGUCCGGAAUUACUGGGCGUAAAGCGUACGUAGGCGGCUUUGUAAGUUAGAGGUGAAAGCCUGGAGCUCAACUCCAGAACUGCCUUUAAGACUGCAUCGCUUGAAUCCAGGAGAGGUGAGUGGAAUUCCGAGUGUAGAGGUGAAAUUCGUAGAUAUUCGGAAGAACACCAGUGGCGAAGGCGGCUCACUGGACUGGUAUUGACGCUGAGGUACGAAAGCGUGGGGAGCAAACAGG
rnacentral:rRNA from 1 species